AUUGAACGCUGGCGGCAUGCUUUACACAUGCAAGUCGAACGGCAGCGCGGGCUUCGGCCUGGCGGCGAGUGGCGAAAGGGUGAGGAAUACAUCGGAACGUGCCCAGCAGUGGGGGAUAGCACGGCGAAGGACGGAUUAAUACCGCAUAAGACCUGCGGGUGAAAGCGGGGGAUGUUCGGACCUUGCGCUAUUGGAGCGGUCGAUGGCGGUUUAGCUAGUUGGUGGGGUAGAGGCCUACCAAGGAGACGAUCUGUAGCUGGUCGGAGAGGACGACUAGCCACACUGGGACUGAGACACGGCCCAGACUCCUACGGGAGGCACCAGUGGGGAAUUGUGGACAAGGGGCGAAAGCCUGAUCCAGCAAUGCCGCGUGUGGGAUGAAGGCCUUCGGGUUGUAAAGCACUUUUGGCGGGAACGAAAAGGACUGUGCCAAUACCACGGUUCGAUGACGGUACCCGCAGAAUAAGCACCGGCUAACUACGUG
rnacentral:rRNA from 1 species